CGGGGCGAUCCGCGCUGGAUGAGCGCGUCCGGAGGUGGGGGGGGUACGCGGAGCGCACCGCGCACAUGGAGGGGCCAUUGCGGUUCCAGUGCCCCCCCGAGUUCGAGGCCGCGCCCCCCCCGGGCCCCUCCUUGGCCGGUGCCUCCCCUGAGCUGUGGCUCAUCCGCGCCCCCCCCGACUUCGACCCCAACAGCCUGGAGGGCUGCUCGGUGCCAUUGGACCACUACGGGCAGCUCCAGCCCCCCCCCCAUGAGGACAAUGACAACGGUGCCCAUUGCCUCUAUGGGGUGCGGGGGGCGCCGGGGGGGGCCGGCAGCCUCCUCCUCCUGUCCCCAGCGUCCCCGAGUGACCCCUUGGCCUGUGGCCCCCCCCUCCGCGGGGUCCUCACCAUCACCCGCAGCUUCGGGCCCCCCCCGGCGCCCCCCAAGAAGAAGAAGAAGAAGCUGGUGACAAAGGAGCCCCCCGAGGUGCCCCCCCCGGCGGGCAAGAGGAAGAAGAAGCACAAGCAGGAGGCAGUGGGGUGACCCCAUUGUUCUCCAUUGUCCCUGUGCCCCCCCCCCCCCACCCCGGACCCCCCCUUUGCCCCCCCUUUUUGAGGCCAUUCCAUGGAUAAAGCCCAUUUUAUUGUGGAUCAGGGAUUGGGGCUCACUUGGGGGUCUGCAGGAAGGGCUCGUGCAGGACAUCGAAGAGGCGCUUGGCCUGGGGGUGGACAUGGGGGGGGGGGCAUGAGUGGACACGGAGGGGGGGCGCUGUGUCCCCAUGUCCCCCCCCCCCCAAUGUCCCCCCAUCUCACCUUUUGGGGUCCAACACCAGGACAAAGGGACAAAUCCUCUUUGGUGGCGGCCACCAGGGCUGCGAGUGACU
rnacentral:lncRNA from 1 species